rnacentral:rRNA from 1 species
UGGGGAAUAUUGCACAAUGGGCGAAAGCCUGAUGCAGCAACGCCGCGUGAGUGAUGAAGGCCUUCGGGUUGUAAAGCUCUGUCUUUUGGGACGAUAAUGACGGUACCAAAGGAGGAAGCCACGGCUAACUACGUGCCAGCAGCCGCGGUAAUACGCAGGUGGCAAGCGUUGUCCGGAUUUACUGGGCGUAAAGGAUGCGUAGGCGGAUUUUUAAGUGAGAUGUGAAAUACCCAGGCUUAACUUGGGUGCUGCAUUUCAAACUGGGAAUCUAGAGUGCGGGAGAGGAGAAUGGAAUUCCUAGUGUAGCGGUGAAAUGCGUAGAGAUUAGGAAGAACACCAGUGGCGAAGGCGAUUCUCUGGACCGUAACUGACGCUGAGGCAUGAAAAGCGUGGGUAGCAAAACAGGAUUAGAUACCCUGGUAGUCCACGCCGUAAACGAUGAGUACUAGGUGUAGGAGGUAUCGACCCCUUCUGUGCCGCAGUUAACACAAUAAGUACUCCGCCUGGGAAGUACGAUCGCAAGAUUAAAAACUCAAAAUGAAUUGACGGGGUCAAUAGCUGUUUCCU